rfam:Ovis aries breed Texel chromosome 10, whole genome shotgun sequence.
UCCCUGGUGGUCUAAUGGCUAAGACUCUGCUCUCAACUCAGGGGGCUCAGGUUCAAUCCUUGGUCAGGGGA